ACUCGGAUAGCUCAGUUAGUAGAGCAUUCCCCUGAUACGGGAACGGUCGCAGGUGCAAGUCCUGCUCCGAGUA
rnacentral:tRNA from 2 species